UUGCUUUUAUGUAAGUAGUGAUGGUGGAGUUCUAAAAGUAACCAAGAGCAAUCAGCUCUCUCUCUCUCUCGUCCGAAGACACGAAACCAAGAGCAAAAAACUCACCGAUCAUUUCCUUCCUCCACCAGCCAUCAACCGACGCCAAAUAACCUUCUGUGGCUUCGUCUUAGCCUUGCGAAGCUGCCUGCGGCGGUCUUGGGUCACAGCACAGCCGGAAACGGCGGUGAGGAGUCGGGUUUGUCCAGGCCCGAAUUGGAAUCCAAUCAUGGUGGUUCGAGCUACCGAUCACGAGACCUUCUCAAACUCCAUCCACAGGUUCGAAUCAACCUCCUGAAGCUCCCAGAAGCAACCUUGCACGGCGGCACGGCCCGUAGCAGCAGCUGCAAGGCAACCCCACGGAACCGGAAUUAUCGAUUCAAAUAUCUCGAGCUACAGGAUGUCGUUUUUCAUGUUCCUUGGACUGGUGAACUCAGAGUGAGGAGCUGAAAAACUUUCUAGAAGGGAUCGAGGCCUGAGGUUGAAGUUUCUACGUUGAAAACUCAAGCCCGCCGGAUUCUGGAAUUUUUCCGGCCACCGAAACCUUCGAUCAGAAGGAACAGAGGCCAAAAGAUGAAUUUUUUACGUGGCAAAAUCGGUUGGACGGUUUCUGCAAUUUCGCCGGUUUCUGGAAAUUUUCCGGCCAUCACGGACUGUUUUAGGUGUUUGACGGUUUGAUUUGGCGGACGAAUUGUGAUUCUUAUUCGAGUUAUAAGAAGACGCAGCGGGAUUAGAGCGGGAAAUCCUACAGGUCAGGAGAAUCGAGAAGGUGAUCAGGCUGCUUAGAGUAGUGGUAUUUGAGUUACAGCAUAAUUGUGAGUUUCGUUAUGUUCAUUUCGAACUUAUCAAUUUGGAAUUUGUGAUAGUGUGUUGUAAUAAGAAAUUGAGGAGUUGGGUAAUGUAAUAUUGAGUGGUGUGAGGCGUGUUACUCUGAAAGAAAAAUUUAGAUUGGUAUUUGUAUUUGUAAUUAUUCAUGUUUCGGAUUUGAAUUGGUUAUUCAAAAUUUGGGGCGUGACACGACUGAUUAGAAGUCCGAUCAGCGCAAACUCUAUAACCUAGAUCAAAACCUCGCUCGGCCUCUCGACCCUGAGUUGGUACGCCCGCGCACACGUUACCAAGCCAAAAAGACACGUGUAAGCUAAGAAGACCUCAGCCGAGUGACACGUGGCCGAGACGAUUUUUGAGCGAACUUCUUUUGGCACGCCCAGUGGGACAACAUUUGGGGAAUAUUAUUAGACCAUUUAGUGAGACAUUAAAUAUGAUGUAUUUUCACAAAUGAGUUAUUAUGAGCCGAAUUUACACGGCUCUAUUUCAAUAAAUAAUUACAAUAGCCAAU